rnacentral:lncRNA from 1 species
AUGAAGGCACAGGCACAUACAACACUGACCUCUUUUCAAUUUUUGCUGUUUGUUGUGUUUUAUUUUUGCUACAGAAAAAAAAUAUAUCCUGGAUACUGUUGCUGUUUCUUUUUAUCACUGGCACUGAACUCAGAGAGGUAGGUUAAGUAUAUUGUUUUACAAAAAAGCAAAAUAGUUAACCAAACAUUGAUUACCAGUAAACUGACUCAGACACUCUUAAUAUAAGUUAACCCUGUGUCACCAUUUCUGAAACAUUUUUUAAAAUUCUGUUUUUCAAAUUAAAGAAGCUAGAAUAUUCAUUAAAUUGCUGGUUCAAAAUGGUUUAUGUUGUCAGCGUAGAACAUUAAAAAAGUCAUAGAAAAUAUUGAAUUCAGGUACAUUAUAA